UACGUAGGGUGCGAGCGUUCAUCGGAAUUCCUGGGCGUAAAGCGUGCGCAGGCGGUCUGUUAAGACCGAUGUGAAAUCCCCGGGCUUAACCUGGGAGCUGCAUUGGUGACUGGCAGGCUUUGAGUGUGGCAGAGGGAGGUAGAAUUCCACGUGUAGCAGUGAAAUGCGUAGAGAUGUGGAGGAAUACCGAUGGCGAAGGCAGCCUCCUGGGCCAACACUGACGCUCAUGCACGAAAGCGUGGGGAGCAAACAGG
rnacentral:rRNA from 1 species